AGUAGGUGGCUCCAGCAUAUCACUGGCAUGGCUCACUUAGAAUCUGGUAUUAACAGCUGUGAUAACUUGAGUAGUAUAGGCAAAACCUAUUAUUUUCUUUUGGAUCUGUGAGUCUGAACUAAGGUGCAUGCAAUAGUUAAUUUUAUGUGUCAGUUUGAUGGGGCCACAGUGCCCAGAGAGUUGGUCAAACAUUAUUCUAGAUGUUCCAGUGAGGAUGUUUUUUGGAUGAGGUUAAUAUUUAAGUUGGUGGACUUUGAGUAAAGCAGACUGCCUUCCCCAUUGAGUGGGCUUCAUCCAAUCAGCUGAAGACCUUAAUAGAAUGAAGAAUGACUUUCCACCAGGAAAAGGAAAUUCUGCUGGCAGUCUGCCUUUGGACUCAAACUGCAACAUCAACUCUUCCCUGGGUCUCCAGCCUGCCCAUCUUCCUGCAAAUUUUGGACUUAACAAGCCUCCACAAUCAUAUGAACAAACUGAGGCUGAGGGCUGUUAAAUAAAUGUCAUCCAACUACUAAGAGGUGGAACAAAGCUUCAAAUCCUAGUGGAGCAACCCCAGAGACCACACUAACAGAAAGAUGCUUCACUGACUCCUUACCUAACCAUAAGCCUGGAAGAAGUUGGGAGAUAGUUGCCAGGAAUGGUGCCCUAAUCUUAGACUAGUUAAUUUGUGACCAUUCUGUCUGCAAGUAACCAGAUCCCAAGGACAAUUUUCUUGGAAGGCCACUUUUUAGGCUGUAAUAAUAAAGUCAUAUCGUCUUCAGAUAA